UAGGGUUUGAUUAUGGCUCAGAACGAACGCUGGCGGCGUGGAUAAGACAUGCAAGUCGAACGAGAUCCUUAGCAAAGCUUGCUUUGCUAAGUCUAGUGGCGAACGGGUGAGUAACACGUGAGCAACCUGCCCAGAAGCAGGGGAUAAGCCACCGAAAGGUGGUCUAAUACCGUAAUAGAUUCCAAGGGGCAUCUCUUGAGGAUCAAAGCGGGGGCCUUUUAGACCUCGCACUUCUGGAUGGGCUCGCGGCCUAUCAGCUAGUUGGUAAGGUAACGGCUUACCAAGGCGACGACGGGUAACUGGUCUGAGAGGAUGAUCAGUCACACUGGAACUGAGACACGGUCCAGACACCUACGGGUGGCAGCAGUCGAGAAUCAUUCACAAUGGGCGAAAGCCUGAUGGUGCGACGCCGCGUGGAGGAUGACAGCCCUAGGGUUGUAAACUCCUGUCAUGAGAGAGUAAAGACUUACCGUUAAUACCGGUGGGUCCUGAUAGUAUCUCAAGAGGAAGGGACGGCUAACUUCGUGCCAGCCGCCGCGGUAAUUCA
rnacentral:rRNA from 1 species